rnacentral:rRNA from 1 species
GGGGAAUAUUGCACAAUGGGCGAAAGCCUGAUGCAGCAACGCCGCGUGAGGGAUGACGGCCUUCGGGUUGUAAACCUCUUUCAGUAGGGAAGAAGCGAAAGUGACGGUACCUACAGAAGAAGCACCGGCUAACUACGUGCCAGCAGCCGCGGUAAUACGUAGGGUGCGAGCGUUGUCCGGAAUUAUUGGGCGUAAAGAGCUUGUAGGCGGUUUGUCGCGUCUGCUGUGAAAAUCCGGGGCUCAACCCCGGACUUGCAGUGGGUACGGGCAGACUAGAGUGUGGUAGGGGAGACUGGAAUUCCUGGUGUAGCGGUGAAAUGCGCAGAUAUCAGGAGGAACACCGAUGGCGAAGGCAGGUCUCUGGGCCACUACUGACGCUGAGAAGCGAAAGCGUGGGGAGCGAAC